CGCAGGGGCUCUCCCCAAUCCGCUCGUAGCCCCCCGUGCUCACCCCGUGGCUGUGGGGGGAGCCCGACUGGUGCAGAAGGACAUCCCUGUUUUCAUCAGAGAAAUGUGGAGAAAUGGAGAAAUUGAGUUCUGCUGCCCCAAAGCCAAGGGGAGAAGACCCGGAGAAAUUCGGUAUCCUCAGCGAAGGAUACCAAUAGGAUCCGGUCCCAAGAGGAUCCGGGGUGGGUGGGACGACGCCACUUUCUCCAUCCCUCCAUUGUUCCUGCUCUCUGCUUCCUGCUACUGAAUCCAUUCCUGAUCCACACGAGGAAUACCCUCUUACUCCCUGACUGCUGAGCCUACUCAGGAGUCAUGGGCGAGAUUUUGUAAAAGGCUCUUUAAACAGUCGAGCGGUAUAUAAAUCUUAGGAAAUAAAUAAGAGGGAUUUCAAAAUGCGAGGAGACGGGGAGAGAUGCUUCUCCGUGGGCCGCGGAAGUGGGAAGAGGACCCGCCUGCACCUGGCGCAGGAACCCGAAAGCGAGGGGACUCUCCUGCCGCCCAGAUUCUUCCCGAAGUCUCCUGGCUGCUGCUCCGCCUUUUUCUUCGGAGUUGAUAGUAUUAAUAUUUCCAGAUGGGAAGUAACCAUUACGAUUUGGCUGAAGCGUUGUCUAUUAAGAAAAUCCAGGGAUCCAAUGUAUCUGUGUGGAGUUUUUCAUUGAUGCUGAAAAACAAUAAAAUUCGAUUAUAUCUAGA